rnacentral:tRNA from 2 species
GGGUCGUUAGCUCAGUUGGUAGAGCAGCGGACUUUUAAUCCGUUGGUCACUGGUUCGAAUCCAGUACGGCCUA